CGCGUCGUUGGUGGGUGGUGAAGAUGCGGUCGGUGUUCCCGAUCCCGACGAUGCGGCCCUCGGGGUCGAACAGCACGCGUUGGAUCGUGCCGCCGCAG
rnacentral:tRNA from 1 species